CACACACGGGGGCGGCAGCUUUCCUGCCAUCCGGUGUCUUUAUGUACCUGUCAUGCCGCAUUUAUUGCGGCAUCUUUAGCCAGACCCCGCAACCAGUGCGGGGUGACAAUAUGAAAAGACUCUCCUCCGUGGCGGAUUAACCGGUAAAAGGAUUGUAG
rnacentral:sRNA from 10 species